GGAGAGAGGGAGGCACGCAUGCGCAAGACGUGAAUGGCGUAGGGGUUGGAGGUUUGGAAGGUCAGGAAGGGAAGGACUCGCAGGCAUAUUUACGAACGCAAAGUUGCUAGGAGUUGGUACCAGCAGUUGGGAGGUAGAGGUGGAGCUCAUGCGUAUUUGAGACAACAUCUUGAAGGUUGGGGAGAACGGUAAGGAGGAAGCGGCGCGCAUGCGUAUUUCAGACGAAGUGCCGGGGAGGGCAGGCGCUCAGCGUUCGGGUAACUAAGGUUGCAAAAUGGCGAGGGGGGAGGUAAGCUGUCUUUGCUUGGCCAUCUUGGGCUAGCAGGCCCUCCAGAGAACUACCUUUUUAGCUGAGUGAAGGGAUCAGUCAACCUGAGUUGGAGUUCUGUGCUGUGGCCAGAUCCACUAGAAAUUAACCCAGAAUCUUAGCCUCUCACUGGCCUAUCGGUGAUGCCACUUGCAAUCAGAAACUAUGCCACUGGUGAAGAAGUAUAUUGAGCCCUGCCUGGUUAACCUCCAGUGAGGUUAUUAGAGAAUUGAGAGAGGCUCAAAUCAGCAUCCUGCACCUAGUUAUCAAACCAUUGUGAAGUCUUGAUUCCUGGAUGGCCAGAAAACAUCUCAUUGGUCAAGAGCAACAUUAAGAUCUGCCUGUUAUCAUACUGAUGCUUCCUGCCCAGCAAGUUCAUCAGAGGAAGAGGAUGAAUUACGGUUGCCAUGGAUGUCCUUGUGAGGCAGUUGGGAAGCCUUGGCUGGAUUGUGAAGGAUAUUUGGAAAGUAUUUUAGAGUCCACCAGAUCCUCCAUGUGAAUGACCAUGCAGCAAAAGAAGGAGGGUCCUGUCAGUGAUUAAGGUAACAUAGUGAUUAAGGUAAGUAGGGGAAGAGAGGCUUACUUUGCCCUGAUUCUUGUCAGGGAGGCUCUCAGAACUGCCAUUUCCAGAGCAUAAGUGACAGGCCAGCACUUUCAAAGCCUGCAACUUAUUCUAUAAUAUAUCCUUCUUAAAACAAUUCAUGUAGAUUAUAUGCUUAUCCAGUCUGUGAUCACUCCUGCAGAAGAUCAGAAGAACUGAAAUAUGGGUGACAUAGGCUCUUACUUUUGUAAAUAUUUUGUUGAAACACAGUUGUGUUCGUUCAUUAUUGUCGAUGGCAGCUUUCAUGCUACAGCAGAGAUGAGUAGUUGGGAGAGAAACCAUAUGGACCAUGGAGUUUGAAAUAUUACUGUCUGGCCCUUCACAGAAAGUUUGCCAAUUCCUGGCAUAGGUUAAAUAAAUGUACUAUGUCUACAAAUCCUCCUCUCCCC
rnacentral:lncRNA from 1 species